rnacentral:rRNA from 1 species
CCGGCACGGGUGAGUAACACGUAUCCAACCUGCCGUCUACUCUUGGCCAGCCUUCUGAAAGGAAGAUCAAUCCAGGAUGGCAUCAUGAGUUCACAUGUCCGCAUGAUUAAAGGUAUUUUCCGGUAGACGAUGGGGAUGCGUUCCAUUAAAUAGUAGGCGGGGUAACGGCCCACCUAGUCAACGAUGGAUAGGGGUUCUGAGAGGAAGGUCCCCCACAUUGGAACUGAGACACGGUCCAA